CAGAGGGUGUAUGGCUCUGCCUCCACCUUGAUUUUGGUCUUCUGGCCUCUAUAAUUGAGAAUUUUUUUUCUUUUUUUACUAUUUUAAGCCACAAAUUUUGUAGCAAUUUCUUUUGGCAGCACUAGGAAACUAGUUAAUACCUCUAUUGUUUGGUUAAACAAAGAACACUAUUAAGUAUUUUUAAAACAAUGUACAUCAGUGUUGAUUAUGGUAAAUAAUACAUUUUUUAAACUGUUGAAGUCAUAUUGAGCUGAAAUUUCCCUUAAUUACAACCUGGUAGUGGAAAGUAGAAGGAAAUGAUUCUGUGAAUUUUCUGUUAUAUAAAUUUUAGCCAGUUUAGGACUUUUGAAUGAGGGGCCAUACAGCCAAGGAUUUAGGAUUUCAGCUCAGGAAAGAAAACUGCAUAGGUGUUUAAUUGUGUCCUAGCCACUUAUUAGCUGGGUAACUUUGAGCAAGUUUUAUACAUAUCCUUCCCAUGAGUUUUUCAUUUCUAAUACUGGCUGUGUAAUACAGUAUGUUUCAUAGACUUGCUGUAAUAAUCGAUGGAGUGUUAAUAUUUUAGGGAAAUACAAUGUCAAAUUCUAUCAAGCUCUAUUUUCAAACUAAAACAAUAGCAGUUUGCUUUCAGAUAUUUUGAAUAUUAUUGUGACAUUUCCCCCUUCUACCUUUCUGGGACCUUGGAUACAGGAACCAUGUAAGGGUAAAUCGUUUAGGUCUUCGUUGUGGGACAGGGGUGAUAUACUACAGUUCCACAGGGGCUGAGCCAGGUUUCAAGGGUGAGAUAGAGAGCUGAUGGUAAAAAUAACAAUGAGAGCAAAGGCCAAAAUGUAUGGAGUAUUUAUUAUGUGUCAGACAUUUUUCACUAAGCAUUCUAGUACAAUAUUUCUUCAG
rnacentral:lncRNA from 1 species